rnacentral:rRNA from 1 species
GAAGCAAUGGGGGCUAUAAUGCAGUCGACGAACUCUGGUAUUGAUUGGUGCUUGCAUCAUGAUUUACAUUUGAGUGAGUGGCGAACUGGUGAGUAACACGUGGGAAACCUGCCCAGAAGCGGGGGAUAACACCUGGAAACAGAUGCUAAUACCGCAUAACAACUUGGACCGCAUGGUCCGAGCUUGAAAGAUGGCUUCGGCUAUCACUUUUGGAUGGUCCCGCGGCGUAUUAGCUAGAUGGUGGGGUAACGGCUCACCAUGGCAAUGAUACGUAGCCGACCUGAGAGGGUAAUCGGCCACAUUGGGACUGAGACACGGCCCAAACUCCUACGGGAGGCAGCAGUAGGGAAUCUUCCACAAUGGACGAAAGUCUGAUGGAGCAACGCCGCGUGAGUGAAGAAGGGUUUCGGCUCGUAAAACUCUGUUGUUAAAGAAGAACAUAUCUGAGAGUAACUGUUCAGGUAUUGACGGUAUUUAACCAGAAAGCCACGGCUAACUACGUGCCAGCAGCCGCGGUAAUACGUAGGUGGCAAGCGUUGUCCGGAUUUAUUGGGCGUAAAGCGAGCGCAGGCGGUUUUUUAAGUCUGAUGUGAAAGCCUUCGGCUCAACCGAAGAAGUGCAUCGGAAACUGGGAAACUUGAGUGCAGAAGAGGACAGUGGAACUCCAUGUGUAGCGGUGAAAUGCGUAGAUAUAUGGAAGAACACCAGUGGCGAAGGCGGCUGUCUGGUCUGUAACUGACGCUGAGGCUCGAAAGUAUGGGUAGCAAACAGGAUUAGAUACCCUGGUAGUCCAUACCGUAAACGAUGAAUGCUAAGUGUUGGAGGGUUUCCGCCCUUCAGUGCUGCAGCUAACGCAUUAAGCAUUCCGCCUGGGGAGUACGGGCCGCAAGGCUGAAACUCAAAGGAAUUGACGGGGGCCGCACAAGCGGUGGAGCAUGUGGUUUAAUUCGAAGCUACGCGAAGAACCUUACCAGGUCUUGACAUACUAUGCAAAUCUAGAGAUUAGACGUUCCCUUUCGGGGACAUGGAUACAGGUGGUGCAUGAUGUCGUCAGCUCGUGUCGUGGAGAUGUGGUAAGUCCCGCACGAGCGCACCUUAUUUAUCAGUUGCCAGCAUUAAGUUGGGCA